rnacentral:lncRNA from 1 species
UCUUCUGUAGCUGUAGAGGGAUCCAUGGCCAGCUGCCCAGUAGCGUGAAUGGUUGGGAUGUCAUCAUUUGUAGUCCCAGGAGGGCUGCAGCUUGUGGGUCUUGAGAAACCCACAGAACCGUUUACCCCUUCUCCCCAGUUGUCAUCAGCUCCUGUGGUCCCUGGGCCCUCGUGGAAGGGGCUGUCUGCUGAGACAGUAGUCCCACCAGCUUUUUUGCUUAGGUCAUUCGGUUGGUCACAGACAUGGAGAUCCCUAGAAGAGCUACGGAAUCAGAAAAGGCUCAGACAACAUCUGGCUUCCCAAGGCCUUCCUGCCCUCAUCCCCAUCACCUGGGAACACAUCAUCAUCGGGGAGGGAGGGGUGUGGAGUAGACACCCUGAAGGUCUCAGGGACCCCCUGACCACAGCCAGCUGGGCUGCCCUGGAAGACCUCUGCAGGACACACCACGGUAGCCUCCUUCUGAGUCAAGAACCUAGAGGCAGGAAACCUACAGUGACCAGGAAAGAGGGUCUUCCCACUGCAAUAGCAGAGUGUGCAAGACAGGAGUCUCCAACUGAGAGAGGUGUCACUGAGGUGGGAAGACCCACCCUGAAUGCGGGCAGUGCCAUCUCAUGGACUGAGGUCUAGAUUGAACAAGUGGGAAGGAGAAAGAGAGCUGAGCACCAGCAGAAAUAUGCUCCCCAAGAAGCCUCAUGUUCCCUGAAUCCACGCCUUCCCUCCCAUGAUGGACUCUACUGUCUUCAAUCCGGAGCCAAAAUAAGUAUUUCUUCUCUAAGUCCCCUCUGUUAGGAAUUUGGUCACGACAAUAGCAAAAAUAAUGAAUACAGGACCCGUGAUUCCUUUUUAAGCAAGAGCUGUGAAAGUUGACUCCAGACAGCUUUGCCCCAGAGAGUCCCAUGUCUCUCACCUGGAAAGCUUCAUCUGAAGUAAUGGUCUGGGGGUUUCUGUCCUUUGAGGAACAGCCUAGAAAGGGGAAACAGUUGCGUGAAAUACAGCAGUCUGUCAGAUGCCGCUUCCCCGCCCCCAGCCUUU